CGACAAAUUUUAAUCGCCGGCUGCUACCGCUAGCUGCUGCUCAGAGCCACCACGUCACUGCUGCCGCCGGUUUCCGCCUCGCCUGACGCUGCUCAUUCGUUUUCGUUUUCUUCGUUGUACUCACUAAGGAUGGGAAAGAAAUCAGGAAAGUUCAAGAAGAAGGAAAACAACCCUCCAAAGAAAUCAAAAAAUGAUUUCUACAAUGAAGAUGAUGAUAUGAUGAAUGAUGCUAUUGAUGCCUUUCAUGAAAAGAGAGAUAUCAUUCCACUGAAUGUUAAUGAAGAUUCUGGAGAGUCAGAUGAGGAUAAUGAGCAUCCCGUGUAUGAUCUUAAGGAGGAUGAAGAUGAGGAGGAUG
rnacentral:misc_RNA from 1 species